CCUACUGGUGGCAGCAGUGAGGAAUAUUGGUCAAUGGGCGCGAGCCUGAACCAGCCAAGUAGCGUGAAGGAUGACUGCCCUACGGGUUGUAAACUUCUUUUAUAAAGGAAUAAAGUGAGGCACGGGUGCCUUGUUGUAUGUACUUUAUGAAUAAGGAUAGGCUAACUCCGUGCCAGCAGCCGCGGUAAUACGGAGGAUCCGAGCGUUAUCCGGAUUUAUUGGGUUUCAAGGGAGCGUAGAUGGUUUGUUAAGUCAGUUGUGAAAGUUUGCGGCUCAACCGUAAAAUUGCAAUUGAUACUGGCAGUCUUGAGUACAGUUGAGGUAGGCGGACUUCGUGGUGUAGCUG
rnacentral:rRNA from 1 species